CCCCCCCAGCUUUCUAAGGUUUGGGCUGCUGACCUAUGUGAAAAGCAGCUGAUCCAGCGUGCUGCAGUUUGAGGACAGUGUGCGAGGAGGUAUCUGACCCAGGUGAGGAGUGUCCCUACCCACAUCAUGGUCAGAGGUGGUCAGUGCAUAGUUCUUACUUGAAGCACAGCAGUGAAAAGUGGCUGCCCCUCCCCUCCAAAAAAAGAUUCAGUGUUAAAUUCACGGAGUUUAAGGAACCUGAGUCAACCAGAAGUAGAUGUCUCAGAGGCCAAAGAGAGACCUAAGCCAUAAAUUGUGGGAUCAUCAGCUUAGGGAUGGAAGUGAAUGAGGUCAUCCAAAGAGAGUAUGCAGUGAAGAGAGGGCCUGUGAGGGAACCUGGAGGACACCAGUAUUUCAGGGUGUUCUAACCCAGUCAAAGACCACCGGGGACAAUCCAUAGUCCAGUGGAGUCAGGUUUAUUGACCCAUUGCUAUGAGGAAGACAGCACAUCAGAGGAAUCAUGGAGUGUCCUACCAAACAGAAAAAGAGUUCUUAUAGGAUCUGAGAGAGGUGGAAUUAGGUGAAAUGUAAAUCAGGCAGUAGUUAAUAGCUCAAAGCAAACCAAAGCUGUGUGUAAAGUAGCCUACAUCAGGUCUGGACUGCUCAGUGGACUCAGGGUCUUGUUUCCUUGGAAACAAUAAAGUUAAGGCUCAUGUGGAAUACAUGUUUAGAAGUCCCUUUUCUGAAUCUCUCCACACCUGGGUUUUAAACCCUGUCCUCUUAGUGAUUUAGCUCUUCCAGGCAAGAGUUGCAUUCCUAUUCUAAAAGCAAAAUUUCUGAUAUUCUAUGAUUUUAGAAAACAAAAUUGCUCAGUGAGUAAGAAAGAAAUAGUCACUCCACGAAGAGGGUUGUUACGGUAUUUUAUAGCUGCAGUAUGUCCCUGGGAAAAAUUUUGUUUCUUAUUAAUUUUGCGGCUGGCUUUCUCUCUGUCUGUUAUUCCAGCCUGAUGAAUACCACAGCAGGUUUUUACAGCCUGAACUAAUUUUUAGAUUUUCAAGGGACACACAAAGGAGGUGGAAUCUGCAAAGACUGAGUAGGCAAUGUGGACAAAAAAAAAUGUUGCCUGUCAAGAAAAAUUCCUUGCUCCUCCCUUACCUCUUUUGAACAGUCCUUCAGAGCUAUCUGAGAGGCUGCCAUCCCAAAUUAUAGUCCUCAGUAAGGCUACAAAUAAAACGUAGUUCUCAA
ensembl:lncRNA